rnacentral:rRNA from 1 species
UACGCAGGGGGCUAGCGUUGCUCGGAAUCACUGGGCGUAAAGCGCGCGCAGGCGGUCCUUUAAGUCUGAUGUGAAAGCCCACGGCUCAACCGUGGAGGGUCAUUGGAAACUGGAGGACUUGAGUACAGAAGAGGAAAGCGGAAUUCCACGUGUAGCGGUGAAAUGCGUAGAGAUGUGGAGGAACACCAGUGGCGAAGGCGGCUUUCUGGUCUGUAACUGACGCUGAGGCGCGAAAGCGUGGGGAGCAAACAGG